rnacentral:rRNA from 1 species
UACGUAGGUGGCAAGCGUUAUCCGGAAUUAUUGGGCGUAAAGCGCGCGCAGGCGGUUUCUUAAGUCUGAUGUGAAAGCCCACGGCUCAACCGUGGAGGGUCAUUGGAAACUGGGGAACUUGAGUGCAGAAGAGAAAAGCGGAAUUCCACGUGUAGCGGUGAAAUGCGUAGAGAUGUGGAGGAACACCAGUGGCGAAGGCGGCUUUUUGGGACGGUACUGACGCUGAGACGCGAAAGCGUGGGGAGCGAACAGG